rnacentral:misc_RNA from 1 species
UGGCUCUCGCAUCGAUGAAGAACGCAGCGAAAUGCGAUAAGUAAUGUGAAUUGCAGAAUUCAGUGAAUCAUCGAAUCUUUGAACGCACCUUGCGCUCCUUGGUAUUCCGAGGAGCAUGCCUGUUUGAGUGUCAUUAAAUUCUCAACCUUUGACAGCUUUUGCUGUUAAUGGCUUGGAUGUGGGGGUCUAUUUGCUGGCUUAGGUCGGCUCCCCUCAAAUGUAUUAGCCGGUACCCUGCGCGGAGCCGUCUAUUAGUGUGAUAAUUAUCUACGCUGUUAGACCUCUGCAUUAAUGGGAUUGUACUGCUUCUAACCGUCCUCUUGGACAUAUAAUGACAAUUUGACCUCAAAUCAGGUAGGACUACCCGCUGA